rnacentral:snRNA from 1 species
AUCGCUUCUCAGCCUUUUGGCUAAGAUCAAGUGUAUUAUAUACUUUUAUACUUAAGAACAUAUAAUGUUACCUGUGGAUUGGAAAGCCAAGUGAGGAAGAAUUUAAUUUAAUUUCCAAAUCAAAAGGAAACUGUU